rnacentral:rRNA from 1 species
GGGGACGUAACAAAGCGACCCAGGAAUGCUUGGGCGUGCCUCCACCCACGCCGGCGUCGGCGGGCGUAUUUCGCCUCACAGUAGGUCGCCGCGACCCGUUGCUUUUGGGGACGUCGAAGGCCCGGACGGAUUGGUACCCUACCGGCUGGGGAUGCGGCUUCGGCUUCUCCUCUUGUCCGGUGGGCGAAACCGCCGGUGUCCUGGCUGCCCUGCGACGGUCGUAGAGACGAGCCCUCCCCCCAUUCGUGGGGGGGGCGGCUCUCGCGGCGUGCAAAAGGUCGGUGAUCCACCCGACCCGUCUUGAAACACGGACCAAGGAGUCUAACAUGUGUGCGAGUCAGUGGGCGCACUAAACCCAGAGGCGUAAUGAAAGUGACACGGGUUCGGCUGUCGCCUCGUGUGGCAGCCGGACUCAGGGCCGAUCCCUCACCGGUUGCCCUCGCCUCUCUCUUCCGCGUCUCGGUACGCCGGGUGAGCUAUUUUCCCCGGCCAAUGCUGCGGCUCGGGGGGAGGCGGGGUGCGAUGGUGUCCGUAAAAAAGAGCCUGCUGUUGCAGGGGGGCGCAGGCCCGGGACUUGCCAGGACGCCGCGAGACUGUCACUUUGCUGUGAGGCUCCAGGGCCGAUCAGCGGGUCAUGCGUGCAGUCGGCAAGUACCAUGAGCAGACAUGUUGGGACCCGAAAGAUGGUGAACUAUGCCUGGCCAGGAUGAAGCCAGAGGAAACUCUGGUGGAGGUCCGUAGCGAUUCUGACGUGCA